rnacentral:rRNA from 1 species
UGGGAAUAUUGCACAAUGGGCGAAAGCCUGAUGCAGCAACGCCGCGUGAGUGAUGAAGGCCUUCGGGUUGUAAAGCUCUGUCUUUUGGGACGAUAAUGACGGUACCAAAGGAGGAAGCCACGGCUAACUACGUGCCAGCAGCCGCGGUAAUACGUAGGUGGCAAGCGUUGUCCGGAUUUACUGGGCGUAAAGGAUGCGUAGGCGGAUUUUUAAGUGAGAUGUGAAACCCUAGNUUAACUUGGGACUGCAUUUCAUGACUGGAAAUCUAGAGUGCGGGAGAGGANAAUGGAAUUCCUAGUGUAGCGGUGAAAUGCGUAGAGAUUAGGAAGAACACCAGUGGCGAAGGCGAUUCUCUGGACCGUAACUGACGCUGAGGCAUGAAAGCGUGGGUAGCAAACAGGAUUAGAUACCCUGGUAGUCCACGCCGUAAACGAUGAGUACUAGGUGUAGGAGGUAUCGACCCCUUCUGUGCCGCAGUUAACACAAUAAGUACUCCGCCUGGGAAGUACGAUCGCAAGAUU